AUUCUUUCUUCUACCUUUUCGUUUUUAAAAGAAAAAAUUAACAACAUCUUAACAUUUAUUGAAAAGUAUGUACAGAUACAGAAACAUAGACAAUUCGAUCACGGACUUCUACUUGUUUAUAUACUGCCCUGGUGCAUUCGAGGUCAUGUUUUCUAAUGGUUUGAAUAAUUUGUGAUUUUCUUUUUCUUUCUUUUUUUUUUUUUUAAGGUCCUAGUAGAUAGGUUUUUCUCACUCCUUCCAUUCCUCUGGUUGUUUUUGAUCUUUAAAGUACACUUGGAAAGCAGAUGAACACUUUCAUAAGGCCAGUGGCAGAUAUUUUGGUUAAUUAAGAAAAAUACCAAUAAAAGAGAAGACAGUGACUAUGGGAGCAGCCAUCCAUGUCUUUGUGCCAAGUGUUCGUUUCAUGACCAGUGGGUAAUCUGAAGAAGGCAUUCUGAAUUUGUCUUAGAAGUGCAACUCUCCUUUCAUCGACAGCAAAUGAAAAACUUCACAGCAGCAGACAGGGCUGGAUGAGAAAAGAACAGUUGAUUUCACAAACCCAGAAUCUUCAUUCAAGUUAAAAUUCACAAAUAAAGCAAAUGUUCUUGAAAAUCAAGUUUGCUUCCUUCAAGAAGACCUAAAGAGCAAUGAGGAAGGUUUAAAGAGAAAGGAUUGUUGGCAAAAUUCCAGGGCGCUGCUGCCCCCUAGAAGGAACUCUGAGCAACACACUUGACC
rnacentral:lncRNA from 1 species